rnacentral:rRNA from 1 species
GAUGAACGCUGGCGGCGUGCCUAAUACAUGCAAGUCGAGCGAAUGGAUUAAGAGCUUGCUCUUAUGAAGUUAGCGGCGGACGGGUGAGUAACACGUGGGUAACCUGCCCAUAAGACUGGGAUAACUCCGGGAAACCGGGGCUAAUACCGGAUAACAUUUUGAACCGCAUGGUUCGAAAUUGAAAGGCGGCUUCGGCUGUCACUUAUGGAUGGACCCGCGUCGCAUUAGCUAGUUGGUGAGGUAACGGCUCACCAAGGCAACGAGGCGUAGCCGACCUGAGAGCGUGAUCGGCCACACUGGGACUGAGACACGUCCCAGACUCCUACGGGAGGCAGCAGUAGGGAAUCUUCCGCAAUGGACGAAAGUCUGACGGAGCAACGCCGCGUGAGUGAUGAAGGCUUUCGGGUCGUAAAACUCUGUUGUUAGGGAAGAACAAGUGCUAGUUGAAUAAGCUGGCACCUUGACGGUACCUAACCAGAAAGCCACGGCUAACUACGUGCCAGCAGCCGCCGUAA